GUCGAGCGAACGGAUGAGAAGCUUGCUUCUCUGAUGUUAGCGGCGGACGGGUGAGUAACACGUGGAUAACCUACCUAUAAGACUGGGAUAACUUCGGGAAACCGGAGCUAAUACCGGAUAAUAUUUUGAACCGCGUGGUUCCAAAAGUGAAAGACGGUCUUGCUGUCACUUAUAGAUGGAUCCGCGCUGCAUUAGCUAGUUGGUAAGGUAACGGCUUACCAAGGCAACGAUGCAUAGCCGACCUGAGAGGGUGAUCGGCCACACUGGAACUGAGACACGGUCCAGACUCCUACGGGAGGCAGCAGUAGGGAAUCUUCCGCAAUGGGCGAAAGCCUGACGGAGCAACGCCGCGUGAGUGAUGAAGGUCUUCGGAUCGUAAAACUCUGUUAUUAGGGAAGAACAUAUGUGUAAGUAACUGUGCACAUCUUGACGGUACCUAAUCAGAAAGCCACGGCUAACUACGUGCCAGCAGCCGCGGUAAUACGUAGGUGGCAAGCGUUAUCCGGAAUUAUUGGGCGUAAAGCGCGCGUAGGCGGUUUUUUAAGUCUGAUGUGAAAGCCCACGGCUCAACCGUGGAGGGUCAUUGGAAACUGGAAAACUUGAGUGCAGAAGAGGAAAGUGGAAUUCCAUGUGUAGCGGUGAAAUGCGCAGAGAUAUGGAGGAACACCAGUGGCGAAGGCGACUUUCUGGUCUGUAACUGACGCUGAUGUGCGAAAGCGUGGGGAUCAAACAGGAUUAGAUACCCUGGUAGUCCACGCCGUAAACGAUGAGUGCUAAGUGUUAGGGGGUUUCCGCCCCUUAGUGCUGCAGCUAACGCAUUAAGCACUCCGCCUGGGG
rnacentral:rRNA from 1 species